rnacentral:rRNA from 1 species
UACGUAGGGGGCAAGCGUUGUCCGGAAUUAUUGGGCGUAAAGCGCGCGCAGGCGGCUUUGUAAGUCUGGUGUUUAAACCUGGGGCUCAACCUCGGGUCGCAUCGGAAACUGCAAGGCUUGAGUGCAGAAGAGGAAAGUGGAAUUCCAACGUGUAGCGGUGAAAUGCGUAGAGAAUGUGGAGGAACACCAGUGGCGAAGGCGGACGUUUCUG